rnacentral:rRNA from 1 species
AUUGAACGCUGGCGGCAUGCCUUACACAUGCAAGUCGAACGGCAGCGGGGGUGCUUGCACCUGCCGGCGAGUGGCGAACGGGUGAGUAAUGCAUCGGAACGUACCCAGUCGUGGGGGAUAACGCAGCGAAAGCUGUGCUAAUACCGCAUACGUCCUGAGGGAGAAAGCAGGGGAUCUUCGGACCUUGUGCGAUUGGAGCGGCCGAUGUCAGAUUAGCUAGUUGGUGAGGUAAAAGCUCACCAAGGCGACGAUCUGUAGCUGGUCUGAGAGGAGGAUCAGCCACACUGGAACUGAGACACGGUCCAGACUCCCACGGGAGGCAGCAGUGGGGAAUUUUGGACAAUGGGGGCAACCCUGAUCCAGCCAUGCCGCGUGAGUGAAGAAGGCCUUCGGGUUGUAAAGCUCUUUCGGCCGGGAAGAAAUCGUGCAGGCUAAUACCCUGUAUGGAUGACGGUACCGGAAUAAGAAGCACCGGCUAACUACGUGCCAGCCGCCGCGGUAA